CUUUCACUGCACAACUUCUUCCAUAUACUUCCCUCUCUCUCAUCCCAUUGUUACCAUUUCCAUUGGUUGUUUGUUCUCAGCUCAAGGAGGAUUCUUGCCCAAGUCCUCGUUUUUCUUAUCGGAAUGGUAGAUUUGAGGUAAAGAGGUUUCACAUUGGUCAAGUAAUCCUCAGAUCUAGCUUCAUUGUCACUCAUUAACACCAAUUCCAUGCACUAAUUCAUGGACCAAGCAGUGUUCUGUGCCAGCUAGUUCUUACUUGUAGUAGAUCUUGUGGAUUGAUGGAUUAUAGGGUUUGAAAAUAGAAACACUUCUUCCAAAUUUUGUAAGAGGCGAGCGAGGCUUGACUGUUUGAGACUUGCAAAGAUCUGUCUCCAUCAUAUUUUAUGUGAAAAAAGGGAGGUACAACAAGCAAAAAGGAGCAAAAAUAAAGAAAAAAAAGAAGAAAAUCAGAAGAAGCUCAAGUUCAGCAAGGAGCUAAGUGCAGGACGUGCCCAGCGCGCAUGAAGGCAAGGCGCUAAGCGCACGACACGCGCUGAGCGCGAGGCUUCACGCCCAACGAGCUUACGAAGGCGCAAGCCCAAGUUUGCACCUAUAAAUAAGAGGGUCAGCCUAGGAAAACGAACACACUUCCUUAGAGCUCAAUUUUCAGACUUCUGACACUCAGUUCUCUCCUUUUCCUUCCCUUUUCUUAUAUUCUUAUUACCUUUCUUUCACCCCCCUCCUCAUUGUAAAGCCCUCAUGACUAUGAGUGGCUAAACCCCUAG